ensembl:lncRNA MEG3 maternally expressed 3
CCACCCAGCCAGCCCCUAGCGCAGACGGCGGAGAGCAGAGAGGGAGCGCGCCUUGGCUCGCUGGCCUUGGCGGCGGCUCCUCAGGAGAGCUGGGGCGCCCACGAGAGGAUCCCUCACCCGGGUCUCUCCUCAGGGAUGACAUCAUCCGUCCACCUCCUUGUCUUCAAGGACCACCUCCUCUCCAUGCUGAGCUGCUGCCAAGGGGCCUGCUGCCCAUCUACACCUCACGAGGGCACUAGGAGCACGGUUUCCUGGAUCCCACCAACAUACAAAGCAGCCACUCACUGACCCCCAGGACCAGGAUGGCAAAGGAUGAAGAGGACCGGAACUGACCAGCCAGCUGUCCCUCUUACCUAAAGACUUAAACCAAUGCCCUAGUGAGGGGGCAUUGGGCAUUAAGCCCUGACCUUUGCUAUGCUCAUACUUUGACUCUAUGAGUACUUUCCUAUAAGUCUUUGCUUGUGUUCACCUGCUAGCAAACUGGAGUGUUUCCCUCCCCAAGGGGGUGUCAGUCUUUGUCGACUGACUCUGUCAUCACCCUUAUGAUGUCCUGAAUGGAAGGAUCCCUUUGGGAAAUUCUCAGGAGGGGGACCUGGGCCAAGGGCUUGGCCAGCAUCCUGCUGGCAACUCCAAGGCCCUGGGUGGGCUUCUGGAAUGAGCAUGCUACUGAAUCACCAAAGGCACGCCCGACCUCUCUGAAGAUCUUCCUAUCCUUUUCUGGGGGAAUGGGGUCGAUGAGAGCAACCUCCUAGGGUUGUUGUGAGAAUUAAAUGAGAUAAAAGAGGCCUCAGGCAGGAUCUGGCAUAGAGGAGGUGAUCAGCAAAUGUUUGUUGAAAAGGUUUGACAGGUCAGUCCCUUCCCACCCCUCUUGCUUGUCUUACUUGUCUUAUUUAUUCUCCAACAGCACUCCAGGCAGCCCUUGUCCACGGGCUCUCCUUGCAUCAGGUAGGGGCUUUGCAGAGACCAUCGACGGGCUGACUUGACCAAGCUUCUUGAAAGGCCUGUCUACACUUGCUGUCUUCCUUCCUCACCUCCAAUUUCCUCUUCAACCCACUGCUUCCUGACUCGCUCUACUCCGUGGAAGCACGCUCACAAAGGCACGUGGGCCGUGGCCCGGCUGGGUCGGCUGAAGAACUGCGGAUGGAAGCUGCGGAAGAGGCCCUGAUGGGGCCCACCAUCCCGGACCCAAGUCUUCUUCCUGGCGGGCCUCUCGUCUCCUUCCUGGUUUGGGCGGAAGCCAUCACCUGGAUGCCUACGUGGGAAGGGACCUCGAAUGUGGGACCCCAGCCCCUCUCCAGCUCGAAAUCCCUCCACAGCCACGGGGACACCCUGCACCUAUUCCCACGGGACAGGCUGGACCCAGAGACUCUGGACCCGGGGCCUCCCCUUGAGUAGAGACCCGCCCUCUGACUGAUGGACGCCGCUGACCUGGGGUCAGACCCGUGGGCUGGACCCCUGCCCACCCCGCAGGAACCCUGAGGCCUAGGGGAGCUGUUGAGCCUUCAGUGUCUGCAUGUGGGAAGUGGGCUCCUUCACCUACCUCACAGGGCUGUUGUGAGGGGCGCUGUGAUGCGGUUCCAAAGCACAGGGCUUGGCGCACCCCACUGUGCUCUCAAUAAAUGUGUUUCCUGUCUUAACAAAAA